GAACUUGGAAAUCCUCCAAACGGCAGGACAUACAGUAGUGAAGAUUGUAACAGCAAAGUGAAAACGUGUAGGCAGUCAUACGUUGACAACAUCGUAGUUGCAGAUACAAUGAACAAAGACAGAAACGAGACAGUAAUUUGUCAACAUCUGAACACAUUCAGAAAUUGCUUACUACAAAUUACAUCGUGUGGCUCAGAAAGAGAAGAGGUGGACAAAAUGACCAGAGAUGAGAAGUCAAGAAUGAACCUUGAAAACUGUGGUAAGUUUCUUACUGAUAACAAUCCA
rnacentral:sRNA from 1 species